rnacentral:rRNA from 2 species
GGCCUUCCCUGAAGUGGGGGAACAGUUGGAAACGACUGCUAAUACCGCAUAAUGUCUACGGACCAAAGGCGGGCUUCGGCUCUCGCCUUUAGAUUGGCCCAAGUGGGAUUAGCUAGUUGGUGAGGUAAUGGCUCACCAAGGCGACGAUCCCUAGCUGGUUUGAGAGGAUGAUCAGCCACACUGGGACUGAGACACGGCCCAGACUCCUACGGGAGGCAGCAGUGGGGAAUAUUGCACAAUGGGCGCAAGCCUGAUGCAGCCAUGCCGCGUGUGUGAAGAAGGCCUUCGGGUUGUAAAGCACUUUCAGUCAGGAGGAAAGGUUAGUAGUUAAUACCUGCUAGCUGUGACGUUACUGACAGAAGAAGCACCGGCUAACUCCGUGCCAGCAGCCGCGGUAAUACGGAGGGUGCGAGCGUUAAUCGGAAUUACUGGGCGUAAAGCGUACGCAGGCGGUUUGUUAAGCGAGAUGUGAAAGCCCCGGGCUCAACCUGGGAACUGCAUUUCGAACUGGCAAACUAGAGUGUGAUAGAGGGUGGUAGAAUUUCAGGUGUAGCGGUGAAAUGCGUAGAGAUCUGAAGGAAUACCGAUGGCGAAGGCAGCCACCUGGGUCAACACUGACGCUCAUGUACGAAAGCGUGGGGAGCAAACGGGAUUAGAUACCCCGGUAGUCCACGCCGUAAACGAUGUCUACUAGAAGCUCGGAGCCUCGGUUCUGUUUUUCAAAGCUAACGCAUUAAGUAGACCGCCUGGGGAGUACGGCCGCAAGGUUAAAACUCAAUGAAUUUGACGGGGGCCCGCACAAGCGGUGGAGCAUGUGGUUUAAUUCGAUGCAACGCGAAGAAACCUUACCUGGUCUUGACAUAUCUAGAAUCCUGCAGAGAUGCGGGAGUGCCUUCGGGAAAUUAGAAUACAGGUGCUGCAUGGCCUGUUCGUCAGCUCGUGUUCGUGGAGAUUGUUGGGUUAAGUUCCCGCACGAGCGGCCAAACCUUGUCCUAGUUUACCAGCCGGUUAGGCCCGGAACUCCUUAGAUUACUGGCAGUUGACCAACUGAGAUGCGGGGACGACGUCAAGUCAUCAUGCCUUACGAACAUGGCUACCACCGUCUACAUGUAGGGUUCACGAGGGGAUCUAUCACACAG